rnacentral:rRNA from 1 species
GGGGGGGGGGGGGGGCGGGGGGGGGGGGGGGGGGGCGGGGGGGGGGGCGGGGGGGGGGGGGCGCGGGUGUGGGCGGCGGGCGGGUGGGUGACGCGUGGGUCACCUACCUAUAAGACUGGGAUCACUUCGGGAAACCGGAGCUCAUACCGGAUGAUAUUUUUGACCGCAUGGUUCAAAAGUGACAGACGGUCUUGCUGUCACUUAUAGAUGGAUCCGCGCUGCAUUAGCUAGGUGGUACGGUCACGGCUUACCAAGGCACCGAUGCAUAGCCGACCUGAGGGGGUGAUCGGCCACACUGGAACUGAGACACGGUCCAGACUCCGACGGGAGGCAGGAGGAGGGAAUCUGCCGCAAGGGGCGAAAGCCUGACGGAGCAACGCCGCGUGAGUGAUGAAGGUCUUCGGAGCGUAAAACUCUGUUAUUAGGGAAGAACAUAUGUGUAAGUAACUGUGCACAUCUUGACGGUACCGAAGCAGAAAGCCACGGCUAACUACGU